rnacentral:rRNA from 1 species
GAUGAACGCUAGCGGCAGGCCUAAUACAUGCAAGUCGGACGGGAUCCAUCGGAGAGCUUGCUCGAAGAUGGUGAGAGUGGCGCACGGGUGCGUAACGCGUGAGCAACCUACCUCUAUCAGGGGGAUAGCCUCUCGAAAGAGAGAUUAACACCGUAUAACAUCAACAGUUCGCAUGUCCGGUUGAUUAAAUAUUUAUAGGAUAGAGAUGGGCUCGCGUGACAUUAGCUAGUUGGUAGGGUAACGGCCUAUCAAGGCGACGAUGUCUAGGGGCUCUGAGAGGAGAAUCCCCCACACUGGUACUGAGACACGGACCAGACUCCUACGGGAGGCAGCAGUAAGGAAUAUUGGUCAAUGGGCGGAAGCCUGAACCAGCCAUGCCGCGUGCAGGACGACUGCCCUAUGGGUUGUAAACUGCUUUUGUCCAGGAAUAAACCUCUUUACGUGUAGAGAGCUGAAUGUACUGGAAGAAUAAGGAUCGGCUAACUCCGUGCCAGCAGCCGCGGUAACAC